CUCUCGUACUAUUGAGCAAGACCUUUCACUCUUCCUGCUCUCAAAUAACAGGUUAGCCAAGUAACAAUUUUACUGGCUCCUGAUCUAUUUUACUAGAGAAAUCACCUUCCAAUGUGGCAGAAUCUAUUAGAAAGCACAAAAGAUAUUUCAAAGAGAUUUUUUUUCUUUUUUGAGGAAGGUUAGCCCUGAGCUGACAUCUGCCACCAAUCCUCCUCUUUUUUGCUGAGGAAGACUGGCCCUGAGCUACCAUCCAUGCCCAUCCUCCUCUACUUUAUAUGUGGGACGCCCGCCACAGCAUGGCUUGACAAGUGGUGCAUAGGUCCGCACCUGGGAUCUGAACCUGCGAACCCCAGGCCACCGAAGUGGAACGUGUGAACUUAACCACUGCACCACUGGACCAGCCCGCAAAGAGUUUUAAAUAAGAAUGCUCCAUGUUGGAAUCCAGAUGCAACGCUUUUAGAAUUCCAGUUCAGGAGGAAAUGCCAUGUGGGAGAGAACCAAGUCACUCAGCCAUCAGCCAGCAACAACUGCCCGCCACGUACUGAGCCAUCACGGAUGUCGCCGCUCAGUGGAGCUCUCUGAUGAUCGCAGUCCCAGUCAACACUGCAUUUAGCAGAUGAUCCACCAAGCUAAGCUCAGUCAACCCAGAAUCAUCCAAUCACAAAUGGCUAUUGUUUUAAAUUACUGGUUUCAGAAUAAUCUGUUCCUCAGCAAUAUAUAACCAACACAAUAUUGCCUUAUUUGCAUCAGAAGGAAAAUAAAAUGGAGACAAAGGGAAGGAAGCUCUUUGCACAGGACAGAUUUCACUAUAUUCUUAGAGCUAAGGGGAAGGAGUGAAUAGAAUUAAAGGUACAGGAGAAAGGGGAGACAACUCAGCACAUCCGUGGAGGAGACAAUUAUGAACUGGAUUAAGGAUGCAAAUUGAGGUCCUGGCUUUGUAUAGAAGGCAGAGAACUUCAUUUGAUGAGAGCGGCAGAAACGAAGUCAGCAGGGAUGAUGUUACUACUUAGUUUAGUAAACCAUUCAUUUUAAAGCAGAAUACUUAAAUUUCAUCUGCGGCCAAGCAAAUUAUUAUUUAUUUCAUGAAUUUAACUGGAAUAGAAAACAUAGAAUUUGAUUCCCUAUUUAAAAAUAAUGAGAACAGAAAGAAGGGAAGAGGCCAUCCUAAAAGUAGUAGAAAUUUGUUGAAAUUUCUCAAAUUCUUAAGUUGACUUCCAUGCAACACUUGUGGAAGGUGUUAUGUAGAUCAUUCUCUUAGGGCAUUUUGCAACGGUUUAUUUAACACAGCAAAAACCUCAGUAUCUGUUAAGAAAAGUGCAGGAAGGACUUGAAUUGUGGGAGAAAGAAAAAAUCUUCUUUUCAUCCAUUCUCUCAAAAACAUUUUUUGCUUUAAAAUUUGUUAGUUAAAAACAGGAAUGAAAUUACUUUGAAUUAUUUAAUUUUGCUUAGAUAUAUUCAGCUUUUAGGACAGUAAGUAAUUUUAGUCUUAAGUGAUUUUUUUUUAUAUUUGACAUAACCUUAAUUUACUUCUAGGAGAAAUACAUGGGAAAUAAUACCCUAGGGUCCGGCCCUGUGGCAGAGUGGUUAAGUUUCCAUGCUCUGCUUCAUUGGUCCAGGGUUCACCAGUUCAGAUCCUGGGCACAGACAUACACACGAUUCAUCAAGCCAUGCUGUGGUGGCACCCCACCUAGAACUAGAAUGACCUACAGCUAGGAUACACAACUACGUACUGGGACUUUGGGGAGAAAAAUAAAAAAAGAGGAAGAUUGGCAACAGAUGUUAGCUCAGGGCCAAUCUUCCUCGCCAAAAAAAAAAGCAUACUUAAAAAAAUAAAACAAAAAUAAUAAUACCCUCAUUCCUAUGAGCUCCAUUUUUCUCACUAAGGAUUUAUGUAUUUAAAAACACAUUUUGAAAGUCCACUAUGUGCUCUGUUCUAAAUGCCUAGGAAACAGGAAUGGAAAAGACCAAGUCCCCACCUCAUGGAGUUUACAUUUAAGUAUGAGGAAAACAGAAAACAAGCACAUAAUCAAAUAAUGAAUAAGAAUUGCAGACAGAGAAGUGAGAUGGAAAGCGGCGAUGAUAAGCCUAGCAAUCAGAGGGAGGGGGCCUGGGGCUGGAGAGAG
ensembl:lncRNA